rnacentral:rRNA from 1 species
UACGUAGGGUGCAAGCGUUAAUCGGAAUUACUGGGCGUAAAGCGUGCGCAGGCGGUUGUGCAAGACCGAUGUGAAAUCCCCGGGCUUAACCUGGGAAUGGCAUUGUGACUGCACGGCUAGAGUGUGUCAGAGGGGGGGUAGAAUUCCACGUGUAGCAGUGAAAUGCGUAGAGAUGUGGAGGAAUACCGAUGGCGAAGGCAGCCCCCUGGGAUAACACUGACGCUCA